ACAGGUGGUUGCAGUGUUGUCGUCAGCUCGUGUCGUGAGAUGUUGGGUUAAGUCCCGUAACGAGCGAAACCCUUGUUCCUAGUUGCCAGCGCGUAAUGGCGGGGACUCUAGGAAGACUGCCGGUGCCAAACCGGAGGAAGGUGGGGAUGACGUCAAGUCAUCAUGGCCCUUACGCCCCGGGCUGCACACGUACUACAAUGGCCGGUACAAAGGGAAGCGAGACCGCGAGGUGGAGCCAAUCCCAAAAAGCCGGUCCCAGUUCGGAUCGGAGGCUGCAAUUCGCCUCCGUGAAGCCGGAAUCGCUAGUAAUCGCGGAUCAGCCACGCCGCGGUGAAUAUGUUCCCGAGCCUU
rnacentral:rRNA from 1 species